rnacentral:lncRNA from 1 species
UGAGCUUUAAAAAUAAGAAAUAACAAUAGAAAAAUAUUAAUUAUCACAGAUAAACUUACAAAAAAGUAAAAGUUUUUCCAAAAUGACUAAAUAAUUUGAGUUAAAAUCACUGUUUAUAAAUAUAAAUAGAAAAACAUUAAAUAUUUUUGCUUGAUAAAUUCUCAUGUGCUAAAUAGUUUUCGUCUCUGAAAAGAUUUAAAAAUUGCAUAUGACAAAGAAGUUUGUAUAUCUUCACAAGACAUUAUUUCGAUAAAUUUACUGUCCAUAUCCAAAGUAUCGAAGCUAUCAAUUAAAGUUCUAGCUUUAGCAAACAAUUCAAAUCUAAUAUCGUCAUAUAAUGGGCAAAACAACAAAAAAAUGUUUUUCACUUUCAACAUCGUUGCUAUUACAUAGUCGGCAUAGUCUUUCAUCUACUGGUGUUCGCGGUCGGGCAUAUCGUCCUGUCUCGAUCGCCAACGGCAGAGACCCGCUACGGAACAGGGUAACAGUUCGACGCACAUUUUUGGGGAGUUGUAGCUUAAGGUAUCGCUCAGUUUUAACGUUUGUUUUGUAUAAACGGUAUGUCCUUAAUUUAUUUCCGUUUACAUUAUUCGAAUCGUCAAAUAACGCUUGUUUGAAUUCAUCGUUAUCAACCACAUCAAAAGCGUUCCUUUAUUGUUCGCAUAACAGUUUUUGUAGAAAUUAAUGUAUCAUUAAGAAUAGCAGUGGCAUCAACGGUUUCCGCAAAACGUUUCACUUUAACGUACCAUCCUUUACG